rnacentral:rRNA from 1 species
AGUGAACGCUGGCGGUAGACCUAACACAUGCAAGUCGAACGGCAGCACAGUAAGAGCUUGCUCUUACGGGUGGCGAGUGGCGGACGGGUAAGGAAUACAUCGGAAUCUACUUUUUCGUGGGGGAUAACGUAGGGAAACUUACGCUAAUACCGCAUACGACCUACGGGUGAAAGCAGGGGAUCUUCGGACCUUGCGCGAUUGAAUGAGCCGAUGUCGGAUUAGCUAGUUGGCGGGGUAAAGGCCCACCAAGGCGACGAUCCGUAGCUGGUCUGAGAGGAUGAUCAGCCACACUGGAACUGAGACACGGUCCAGACUCCUACGGGAGGCAGCAGUGGGGAAUAUUGGACAAUGGGCGCAAGCCUGAUCCAGCCAUACCGCGUGGGUGAAGAAGGCCUUCGGGUUGUAAAGCCCUUUUGUUGGGAAAGAAAAGCAGCAGGUUAAUACCCCGCUGUUCUGACGGUACCCAAAGAAUAAGCACCGGCUAACUUCGUG